rnacentral:lncRNA from 1 species
CGCACCUGCACGAGUGCAUAUUUUGAAAUAUAUGUUGAUAUUUGUUUUUUAUGUAAUUAUUAGAGUUUGACAAAAUGAAUCCGAGGAACAGAACCAAUACCGAUCCAAAAAUAUAGUACCAAACCCGAACAUAAAUUGAUUAAAUAUUUGAAUUAUUCAAAAUUUUGUUAUUUAGAGAACCAAAUCUGAUCCGAACCGAAGUAUUCGGUACCCGAAUUUAUCUAAAAAUAGAUUUAUAUACUUAUAUAUAUU